rnacentral:rRNA from 1 species
CCUACGGUGAGCAGCAGUGAGGAAUAUUGGUCAAUGGACGCAAGUCUGAACCAGCCAUGCCGCGUGCAGGAAGACGGCUCUAUGAGUUGUAAACUGCUUUUGUACGAGGGUAAACGCAGAUACGCGUAUCUGUCUGAAAGUAUCGUACGAAUAAGGAUCGGCUAACUCCGUGCCAGCAGCCGCGGUAAUACGGAGGAUUAAAGCGUUAUCCGGAUUUAUUGGGUUUAAAGGGUGCGUAGGCGGUCUGAUAAGUUAGAGGUGAAAUCCCGAGGCUCAACUUCGGAAUUGCCUCUGAUACUGUUCGGCUAGAGAGUAGUUGCGGUAGGCGGAAUGUAUGGUGUAGCGGUGAAAUGCUUAGAGAUCAUACAGAACACCGAUUGCGAAGGCAGCUUACCAAGCUACUUCUGACGUUGAGGCACGAAAGCGUGGGGAGCAAACAGGAUUAGAUACCAGGGUAGUC